rnacentral:rRNA from 1 species
GAGUUUGAUCUUGGCUCAGAUUGAACGCUGGCGGCAGGCCUAACACAUGCAAGUCGAGCGGAUGACGGGAGCUUGCUCCUUGAUUCAGCGGCGGACGGGUGAGUAAUGCCUGGGAAUCUGCCUGGUAGUGGGGGACAACGUUUCGAAAGGAACGCUAAUACCGCAUACGUCCUACGGGAGAAAGCAGGGGACCCUUCGGGCCUUGCGCUAUUAGAUGAGCCUAGGUCGGAUUAGCUAGUUGGUGGGGUAAUGGCUCACCAAGGCGACGAUCCGUAACUGGUCUGAGAGGAUGAUCAGUCACACUGGAACUGAGACACGGUCCAGACUCCUACGGGAGGCAGCAGUGGGGAAUAUUGGACAAUGGGCGAAAGCCUGAUCCAGCCAUGCCGCGUGUGUGAAGAAGGUCUUCGGAUUGUAAAGCACUUUAAGUUGGGAGGAAGGGCAGUAAGUUAAUACCUUGCUGUUUUG